rnacentral:misc_RNA from 1 species
CUAAGGAAGUCAAAAGAUAAUCGAAAGAUAAUCAAGUAGACUUAAAAAAAUAAGUUUUUUAACUUUACACUAUUAAUUAAAUUCAUAAGAACCAUUACAACUUCAAAAGAUAUAUAACUUAAAUUUCUAGAAAAACAAUAAACUGGAAAAAACAAA